CGGCAACCCACGCUUCGAGGGCCUUGUGCAUUGCAGAGGACACGGCAGCCUGCUCAUCACGCUCAACUACACCUCCUGCAAAAGCUUUGGCCACUUUGGGAGGCAGGAUCUAGAUAUCUCCCCACAAACCUAAACAAUUUCGAGAGGGACUUGUGUUCUGCAGCCAGUCACAGAAUAUCAGGUGAGCUGGGCGCUCCUCUCCGCCCUGCUUAGAAUCACUGGAAUGACCGUUCUGUGGCUACAGCCCUAAAAGAGCUACUAAAAAGACCAGAAGUAGUAUGAGAACUCAUGAAUACAAAUAUAAAUAAAAGACAUCUGGAG
rnacentral:antisense_RNA from 1 species